CCUUUGAACCCUUGCCUGGCAUCAAAAUCUGUGCCCUUUAUCUGAGACAACAUGCGGAGUCGACUCAAAUCUACAUUUUUCUUAUAGAUGAUAAGAAAAUCUCAAGGUACAAAAUCCAUGCGGAUGAGGUCAGGUUCAAACACAGUCUCAUACCGUCAAUGAGUCUGCUGCUAAAUCACCUCUUGGGUGACUCCUGAGCACCACGGUCCUUUUUCUUGUCUCGCACUGCUCGCACCCCCAGGUCCAAGUUGGAGAAGCAUCAAACCGUAAGUGCAAGAAGCAUUCAAGGCCAUUCAAUUCUGCCUUUCCCUCUGGAGGGGGGAGAAUGAAUCGGGAACAUCAAGUGCCCAAAGUUGCCCAGGAGAGGCCUGGGCUGCUGAGUGCCAGCUGUGCCCCUUCGAGAGCCCCCUCCCUCAGUGGGAAGCACAAUGCCGCCCCUCCCCCCUCCGUGCCCCUUUCUCAGAAGCAGGCAUCUGAGACACACCAUCAAGGACAGGGUCGUUUCCCUGCAUUUUCCUUUGGACUAGAUGACUGGUCCACUGGACUGCAUUUUCUUCUUUCAGAUCUAGGACGGUUGAAUGAAUGUUUCCAUAUAAGGUGGAAGUAAAAAUUCCUUUUGCUAAAAAUAGCAGGGAGGAAGGAAGGGUGUGGCCUGGGGAAACAGGACAAUGCUUUGAGCUUGAGGCUCCACAUGAUGGAGGCCUCCUCCGCCCAGGCCCCUCUCCUUCUCCACUCUUCUGCCAGAGCCCUGCUGCAUUCUGCACUUCUUCUUCUUCUUCUUCUUUUUUUAAAGAUUUUAUUUAUUUAUUUGAGAGAGAAAGAGAGUGAGGGAGUACAAGUGGGGGGAGGGGCAGAGGGCCAAGCAGACGCCGGCUGAGCAGGGAGCCCAACGACGCAGCCCCAUCCCAGGACCCUGAGAUCAUGACCUGAGCUGAAAUCAGAUGCUUAGCCUACUGAGCCAGCCAGGCGCCCUGCAUUCUGCGCGUCUACGCACCAGCCAGUUCUUCCUCCUUGGGUCCCGGGCUCCCCUGCUCCCAGGACCAGCAACCCCCUCCUGAGCCUUCCACUACGAGGGCUCACUCCGGCCCCCUCUGGCUCUCUCCUUAUUCUUCUUAUAUUGAGUCCUUAUAUCCUGUACUUUCAUGAAGUCUUGAGCAUUCUCCUCUUUAUCUGAGGGCAUGCUACAUCGUGGUGUAAGAAUUUGCUCAGAAACCUGACACAUCGGGUUUAAAAACCCAUUCUUCCCCUGGCUACCUGUGUGAUUCUUGGCCAGCUCAGUCUCUGGUCCUGUUUCAUCAGCCGCAAAUGGGGAGAAUAAUAUGUUUCCGGCAGGUCUCGCGUCAAAAUCAACCAAAUAGUGUCCCUAAAGCGUUUUGCCCAUUGUAAGGGCACAGUAGAUGGUCCCUUUUCUUCUAGGGAUUAGCCUGGGUCUCACGCUCCUGCUACGACCACGCCUAGUGCCCCAGGGGCCCUCCUGGGUGGUGCCAAGUGGGAGAUGACUUUCUGUGCCCCAGAGCUCUGUCCUGGCGCUUGCAGCCCCUGCACGUGGCAAAGGGACCCUCCCACAGGCUGAUUCUACUGCACCAUCUGUGUCGGGAGCCAGACUGGGCAGGCCUCCAAAACCAUCAUAAUUUCCAGGGCGCGAUUAUUCAGCACAGCCCCAAGAGGCCCGCAAAAGCUCCAGAGGGUCCCAAGAAACCAACAAAGAAGAGGUGACAGAGGCCAGACGGUUUGUGGCUCACAAAGACGACGGUAUUCGCCAUCCGGCUGGCUCUUUCUAGAAGUUGGCUGACCCCUGCUCUUGAGCACAUCGGGCGCGUCUUGGCCCAGGAGACAGCAGCUGGUCCCUGGGUGUGGGGUGACCUGGCUGGUCAUGACGGCGCAGGCAGGAACCAGAUGGCCCCUGGGGCUGUCAUGCUCAGGAGGCUGCAGGACAGUGGGGCCAUGUGGCUUCCCAGUUCUCUUUUCAGAUGCCUAUUUUGGAUGGGCCCUUUGAAAGAGGAUCAGAAAGCAUUCCAUCUGAAAAGGAACCAAUAAUCAAGGGCAAAGGGCUUUCAUUUCCUGAGCUGUUUCUAGGGUACAAGGUGGUUUCGAACACGGGCCCUGAGUCAUGGGGGAGCCCAGGACUCCCACCCACCUAGGGAGCCAGGGGCUCGGAUGCAGAGACAGGAGAAGGGGCGCUGUCAGGCCAGAGACCGGCCCUGGAACCAAGACGCUUCUUCUUUGUUCUGGAUUCAGUCACACAGAUGAGCAGAGGCAGCUCAGAGAAACAGUCUGCAUAGAAAACGGAGAGAAAACCUGGCUGAGGAAAGCACGUUGUGCCCGUGAAAUCAUGGCGCCCAGCCCCUGCGCCUCCUAUGGGAAGGCCCGGAAGCCUGGACCUAGGUGGGAGCUGUGUUGGCCCGUCGGGCAGGGAGAGCGGAGGACGUGGCUCAGUUGUUAUGGGUCUGUUUUACUCCCCUCCCCCACCCCCCCACUUUCCUCUCACUGACCCCAAGAUGCUGUUAGGUAAACAGGCUGCUUGGCCCCCACUGAAUCCUCUUGUCUACCAUCAGGAAACUGGUGGCUCUUCCCAGUAUUGUUAUGGCUCUGAGGAGCUCAGGACGGACCUGGUGCCACUCAGACCUGGGGUUGGGCAGGUGGGGAGGCUUAAGUCAUUUUGACUAAGGAAAGGGUUAAGGUAUAGGCAGGGAAAGAUGGGGGCCCCUGGCUGGGCUCUGAGACUAUUCCUGGCAAGCAGAAGCAUUAAGCCAGAGUGAACAAGAGAUAAGGAAACAGACCACCUGGCCUGGGAUGUCAGGGAGUAUUUUUCUUUGGCGGCUACAAUGUAUCAUAGAAAAUGGCCAAAACUCAAAGAAUUAAGUCAUUAAGGAUGUUGGCAAUAGUCCGUGCUCAAACCAAGAUGGCACCAGAAACUCAAGGCCACAAGCUUCCCAGUCAGUUCUCCAGGGAAGAUUGCCACUAGAAGCCCUCAGUGGCAACCCCUUCGGGACCCCUCUCUCUCUAGAGAGCUUCUUCUUUGCUUUCUGUUCUCACCUUCACUUAAUCAACUUUCACUUCCCUUCACCCUGUUGUGUCCGCGAGGUUCAUUCUUCAACUCCGUGAGACAAGAACCCUGUGAUCCUGUAACAGUUUCAUGGCAGCUCUCAGUCUGCCCAAAGAAUGGGCCUGGAAAAAAGCCUUUUGUCUUUUUGUAUUGCUUUUUCUGACUAAAUAUCAUAGUUACUGCAGAACAUUUGGAAAAUAUAGACAUGUAUAAAAAAGAAAUGUACAGAGUGAUUUUAGACUGAAAAGCACCCAAUUCAUUCAGGAAACUGUUACUUAAUUGAGCACCUAGUCCCUGCCAGGUGCUGGUCUUGGUGCUGGAGAUAUUACAGGAACAAGCAGAGUCCCCACCCUCUCGGAGCUUCUACUGUAGUCAAUAGAGCAGGGGAAGGGGCUAGAAGCUGAUGGAACAGGGUACCGUUUUUGAUAGGGGGCCAGGAAACGGGGAAGCAACUCGGUGGGUAUCUGGGGAAGAGUGUUUCAGGCAGAAGGGGCAGAAAUGUGGCGGGAGCCUGCCAGGUGUGGUCAGGGGGGUGAAGGAGGCCAGCAUGGCUGGAGGUGGGUAUGGAAGGAGAGGAGGAAGGGCAGCGGGCCGAGGACAUGUGGGGAUUUGUCGACCAUGGGGAGGGCCUCAGAUUAUUAGCGGGUGAAACAGAAAUCCCACAUAGGCUCUUUUUUUUUUUUAUUCUUAUGUUAAUCCCCAUACAUUACAUCAUUAGUUUUAGAUGUAGUGUUCCAUGAUUCAUUGUUUGUGCAUAACACCCAGUGCUCCAUGCAGAACGUGCCCUCCUCAAUACCCACCACCAGGCUAACCCAUCCUCCCACCCCCCCUCCCCUCUAGAACCCUCAGUUUGUUUUUCAGAGUCCAUCGUCUCUCAUGGUUCGUCUACCCCUCUGAUUUCCCCCCCUUCAUUCUUCCCCUCCUGCUACCUUCUUCUUCUUCUUUUUUUUUUUCUUAACAUAUAUUGCAUUAUUUGUUUCAGAGGUACAGAUCUGAGAUUCAACAGUCUUGCACAAUUCACAGCGCUUACCAGAGCACAUACCCUCCCCAGUGUCUAUCACCCAGUCACCCCAUCCCUCCCACCCCACCCCCCACAUAGGCUCUUGAGCAGCAGAGCAACCUGACCAGCCUUAGGUUUUGAAAUACUCACUCUGGAUGCUGGAUGGAAAGAAGACAGGGGUUGGGGCCCAGGGGCUGGCAUGGGUGGGAGCUGGGAAACAGGUUAGGCUACUGCAGUCGUGCAGGGGAGAACGUUUUCCCUGACCCUCCUGGAGUCCCUGGCUGGGGCUGAAAAUUAAACUCACAAAGGCAGAUGGACAGUAGAAAAGCACACAUGUUUUACUGACUUUUUACAGGGGCAUGAAAGCCUUCACAGGAGAACGAGGACCCAAUGUAGCGACCAGAGCAGGAAGCUCUGAUACCCUUUAGACAAAGAAACAGUACAUUUUUGAAGAAUUGAGAAGAUAAAGGGUUUGGGCCGCAGGUAGUAAGUGGGGGAAGAGGCAACAAGGUUUGUUUAUAUGGCCUUCUUGGCUCCAAGUUCCCUGUCACUGGUGUUAAGGGUGUUUUCCUUCCUUUGGGUGCCUUUCACAUGGGAGAUUUACCUCCUGCUUUCAAGAGACCAAAAAGCGUCAAGGCGUCUUUCUUGCAUCAACUAUUUCUUAGGUGCCUUUAAUUAAAGUAAUAUGCUGAGGUGGCAUAUCUGGGGGCAAUGUAUUCUGUUCCUCUUUGAUAAUAAUAUAGCUCUGGACGUAGAGGGAGCUGCCCUGGUGGAGGCCGGAAGCCCCUCCCCUUGGGCUUCUGCUCCUCCCUCUCAGUGGUCUCUAAGGUUCCCCUCUGGAACCCCAGGGUGCCUCAGAGCACAGUUUGAAAACCACUGGACUGGAGGGUCUCUGAGGGCCCUUCCGGGUCUGCACUUCUGUGCUCUUGUGACCCUGCUUGCCAGGCUGUUUGAGGGCCGGACCUGAUUCUGUGUGAGCCUACCUGGUUUCCAUGAUCCGGGCCUCCAAAAAUGCCAACUUGAAAACUGGGCAGUUUUCAGGGCCCAGAAAGGGGAGAGAUUUUGAAAAUGAACUCAACUCCCACGUACAGACCAUGGCCAGCCCCCUGUAAGGAUGGUAAAGAUGAGUAAAACAAAGUAUCUGCCCCAAGGGACUCGCCGGCUGGGAUGGGAGAAAAGAAGUCACACAAAUGACCAAAGAACACCGGGGUCAGGGUCUAUGACUUGCCCUGACUUUCUUCCCUGUGCCCAGGGGUUGGCCUGAGGGCAUCUGGAGAGCUUUGGGCCACACCGGCUCCCAGGGGGCUCCUCCACAGACCCUAACUCAGUGGGCCCCAGGCUCCUCAGCCACCCAACCCAUGCUUGGGUUAACUCCUGAGUGUCUCAGAACCUCUCUGCUGGGCGGAGCUCUGUGACACCGCUUAGUGCCCUGAAAUAUUAGCCCCAGAACACAACCAACAUGGAGGGGAGUGUUCUUACAGAGCCCACAGAUCUCACAGAGGGAGAGCCUCGCACGAGAAACAAGUAUGAGGUGAGGCUUGCUGAACAGGUGGGACCCUAAACCACUCCAGGACCUGAAGACAAUCAGACAUUUCCAGAGAAAGAGAAACACGAGGGCCGGGGGGAAGAGGGGGGCCCCCCGGGGAGAGGAGGAAUGAAGCGUCUGGGAGCGAAUGGUGCUUUUCUCACAUUUACCAGGAAGAAACAAAAAAAUAUCAACAAAACCAGACCGAGAGCCGCCAACUAAAAAGAUUUCUCUGAGUCAGACUGCUUUCCUGGAAGCUGUGAACUUUAUCCUCCGGCAACCAUUAAUCUAAUAUUAAGGCCCUUAACCUUCUUAAUUGUUCUCUUUCAGCAUCGGCUGGUUUCAUAUUAACCUUCCAGGCUUUCCCAUAAUUCAGUUACCUGCACCUCCAGCCAGACCCGACCCAGGAGCGCCCGCUCUCCCAGUGCCUCCCCCCCUCCCAGAGCUGCAGGGCCCCGUCCCUACUCCCCUGCAGCCUGCCACUCUUUCUGGUUCCUGGGCCGUGAAGCAGCCUGGCAGACACAGUGCGCAGUGUGCAGGCCGGCCUGGGCCGGCUCCUCUGUUACUGCAGACGGAGCCAGCAAGCGGGAGAACACGGCUACCGGCCGUCAGGGCUCAUCAGCCUCGGGGGGCUUGUGGCUUGCUAUUUGAGCUUUGUUUUCCUUCUCUCUCUCUCUUUUUUAAAGAUUUUAUUUAUUUAUUUGACAGAGAGACACAGCGAGAGCGGGAACACAAGCAGGGGGAGUGGGAGAGAGAGAAGCAGGCUCCCCCCUGAGCAGGGAGCCCGAUGCGGAGCUCGAUCCCAGGACCCUGGGAUCAUGACCUGAGCCGAAGGCAGACGCCCAACGACUGAGCCACCCAGGCGCCCCUUGUUUUCCUUCUCUCCUUGCAAUUGUUUCUUGGGGAAAGACAAAGCCUCUCACCCAGAUGCUGAAGGCACACUCGGAAGCUGCCUGUGUGCCCACCUCAGAUGCCCCACUGUGCCCUGCGAGGGGUGAGGGCGGCUGGAGGGCUGCCUCCCGAAGGGCCAACUCAGCGGUGCCCCUCGUGGGACUGGCCACCCGGCCCGAGCAUGAGUUCUGGCCUCUCCUCAGAGCGGUGUGUCCGUGUGGCGGAGGGCCCUUGGGUCCUUGGGUAAUUGCUGAGGGCUGGGGGAGAGGGUCUUUGCGUCUCCCCCCCAGGAGAGGCCACUGGGACACUUUCCCUUAACCUUCACAUUCACUUUUCAAACCCUUAUUUCAUGGGGAACGGAUGCCCUGCCUUGACGUGGGGCUGCAGAGUUCAGUCAAGGGCUCCCACCAGCCUCACCCCACCCACUCCGGCCAGGGCAGGGGCACGCAAGAUCGUCUUCCCCACAAGGCACUGUGGUGGCAAGGCUGGGGCGAAGGGGCGGUGGGAGCAGCUUCUUCAAAGCCCGUCCCUGCCAGAGGCCCUUCUCCCAGUUAGUGUGGACUCUUCUCCAGCCCUCCUGUCUGGGGGCCUCCAGGUCUGAUGUCUGUUGGGGGCUUCGGCCUGGUGAGGACACCCCACCAGCACCUCCUCAGGCCUCAGUGUGUGAGAAAGGCAAGCCCCCCCCACACCCAGCUCUUCUGACUGGGCACGUGCACCCAGACAGCCCACACCCUGUCCCCAGGCCAGGGCUGCCUCUCUGCUUCGUCGUGCUUUCCAGGCACAGCGCCCUUGGCACGAGUGGACAGAGCCCUGGGCUCAGUGUUGGGGGAGCUGAUCCCUCUGCCCCGGGCCCCUCAGGGGACUAGAGGACAGAUCCCACAGAAAGGACAUUGGGGCAACAUGGCCUCCUUCACCGCGUGGCCCAGCGCAGCUCUGUUUGCCGACCACCACACACGGCAAGCGGAGUGUCCCCCAGCUCUGCACUCCCGGACUCCCGGUAGAGGGAAGGCCCCACACCCACACCUCGUUUGUGAGCUUAACCUUGGCCUAAAAGGUAGUCUGGAAGAGAUCCAAGUUCUCCCAGCCACGAGUAGAUGCCAUUAGGUUGGGCAGUCAUGCAUGGCCCUUCACGUGAAAAUACAGAAGAGGGUCUCUGGCCAUGUGAACCUAAGGGGGUCACAGGCCCUGGAUGUGGACAUUUCCCUGGAAACAUAAACAUAAACAUUUAAUAACUACAAAAAUUAAACACUUCCAAAUAACAAAGCACUCUUUUUAUUCUUCUGUAUUUUAUACAAUGGAAGCUUUAGAGUUUUUUUCCUUUUAUUAGAUUGCCAAAAUGAUAUCCAGAGCUGUCCAAUUUGCCUGUCACUCCAGCUUACUGAUCUCAAAAAGUAAGACUGAGUAAUUUUACUUUUCAUUUAAUUGGACAGGCUUGGGUCUGAGCCGGGCAUCUCUUGGAGUCAGGGAGCAGCAUUCACCAAGGGUCUGUGGUCAGCAGAGCCCCACCUAGGAUCUGUGUGAGGCUACAACCAACCAGCCCAGACGUGCUCUCAUGGGGCCUGGAUACUGUUGGGAAGAUAAAGUACAUGAGCCUGAUGGGAAAAAAAAAAAAAAGUCACAAGCUCUGUCUAGUGCAGAGGUGGGCUCGGAGGGACGCGACUGUAAAUGUCAGGUUGAUUUCAUGUGCGGAGUGUAUUCAUCAAGCUGAAUCAAGACCACGUGCUCAUCUGCAGUUCCGUUCUGCCUUCGAUUAACAUUGAUUGACAACGUACUAUGUGGCCGUCUCAGGGCCAGGCCUCCGUAAUCGAGCCUGGGGGGUGAGUCGACCGUGCAUGCUUGUCUCCGGAUGUCGGACUUGCUGAAUCUUCCCCGAACGAUGCCAUCUCUGUCCUGGCACCGCAGCUUUGUCCUGCUCCUUCCCGUCUAUGCCUGAAGAAGAGUCCCCUGAACUGCCUCCCCUCCACCGCCACCCUACCCAGCAUGCCUUUUUCACCUCCUCUGCCACUUGCUUUGAGGUAAGGAGCCCCACCCCACCCAGAACACGGAGUUCUGUCCCAGUCUGGGAGGCGGACGGUGGGUGUGAAGGGAGGAGCGGCAAGGGCAGUCAGAGCCAGAAGGGAGGAGGAAAACGAAAGGGACUAUUUUAUUGUUUCUCAGUGACUCCCACCUGUUGUCAAAGAGCCGAGGUGGUAGGGCUUUGAAAUGAAAUGAGAGGACGUCUUGCUCACCAGAUUUGGAGACCUUUUGUAAUCCCCGCCCUUGACUUGGCCUGUCUGCUUCAAUAUCACCACCAUCCACAACAACACUCAUUGAGUGCUCAUGGGUACCAGGCACUGGCCUAGGCACAGGGGGUGGGAGCUUAUGUCAAGGAAAUGGCCAAAGGCUGCAUUGGGUGGGAGACAUACAAAGCUCCCUUCUGAGAAUUGGAAACAUCAUGUUCUUUCUUUAAAAAAAGAUUUUUAUUUAUUUAUUUAUUUGAGAGAGAGCACAAGCAGGGGGAAUGGCGGAGGGAGAGGGAGAAGCAGGGUCCUAUCUGAGCAGGGAGCUUGUUGUGGGGCUUGAUCCUG